rnacentral:tRNA from 1 species
GCGGGUGCAGCUCAGGGGUAGAGUGCGUGCUUAGCAUGCACAAGGUCCUGGGUUCAAUCCCCAGCACCUCCA